rnacentral:lncRNA from 1 species
GCUGUCCAAACAAAACUUAGCUGUUGAAUCCUCUUUUUUUUAGCCUAUUUAAACAACUUCCAGAUACUACACGUUUUUUCCUUCAAAACACUUCCAUUAACCAAGUUUUGCUUGUCGUACCUUUAAAAUAAUGCAAAAUUGAAUUUUCAGUACUCAACUAAUUGUUUAUGUUUAAAGAAUAUUUUCACAAUUAAUCCCCU